AUGGUACCUUACAUGCUGUGCUUUCAGUUCGUGGCGUGUUGCCUCCUGGUCCUGCUCUACUCGCUUCGAUCUGGUUCUGCCAGCAGCGCUGGCCAUGGCCCGAGAAGCUACCCGGUCAUCGGCUGCCUGCUCGCCUUCUACGAGAACCGGCGGCGGCUCCUCGACUGGUACACCGAGAUGCUGGCGGCCUCGCCCACCCAGACGAUCGUCGUUGACCGCCUGGGUGCGCGCCGGACCGUGGUGACCGCGAACCCGGCCAACGUCGAGUACAUCCUCCUGGGCAACUUCGGCAACUUCCCCAAGGGGAAGCCCUUCACCGACGUGCUCGGCGACCUGCUCGGCAAUGGCAUCUUCAACGUCGACGGCGACAAGUGGUUCGCCCAGCGGAAGCUGGUCAGCCACGAGUUCUCGGCGCGCACGCUCCGUGAGCUGGAGAUUGCCGUGCUCGAGGCGGAGGCGCUCGACCGCCUCGUGCCGGCGAUGGAAGCGGCCGCUGAGCCGGGCGGCGGCGCCGUGGACAUGCAGGAUGUCCUCCGCCGGUUCGCAUUCGACGUCAUCUGCCGUGUCUCGCUGGGCGUUGACCCGGGAUGCCUCGACCCGGCAUUGCCCGCGCCGAGGCUGGCCACCGCGUUCGACGCCGCCGCCGGGAUCAUCGCCAGGCGCGGGGCUGCGCCGCUGGCCGCCGUCUGGAAGAUCAAGCGUGCGCUCAACAUCGGCUCGGAGCGGCGGCUGCGCGAGGAGGUCAAGGUUAUUCACGAAGCCGUCAUGGAUCUCAUCAGGAGCCGCAAAAAGGAGCGCUUCCUGGUCAACGCCGGCGACGAGAGGAACGACCUGCUGUCGCGGAUGAUCGAUUGCGGCUACGCCGACGAGGAUAUCCGGGACAUGGUGAUCAGCUUCAUCAUGGCCGGCCGCGACACGACGUCGUCGGCGCUGACCUGGUUCUUCUGGCUGCUCAUGCGCCACCGCGACGUGGAGCGAGACGUGCUGGAGGAGAUCACGAGCAUGAGACGAGACAGCAGCAACGGCACCUACGCCGGCGAAGGCUUCGACCUUGACGACUUCCGCAGGAUGCGGGUGCUCCACGCGGCGCUGAGCGAGACCAUGCGGCUGUACCCGCCGGUGGCGUGGGACUCGAAGCACGCGGCGGCGGCAGACGUGCUGCCGGACGGCACCCGUGUCUGGCCCGGCGACCGGGUCACCUACUUUCAGUACGGGAUGGGGAGGAUGGAGGCCAUCUGGGGCUCCGACGCCGGCGAGUUCAGCCUGGAGAGGUGGCUCGCACUGCCGACGGACAGCAACUCGGCGUCUGGCGGCGUGUCUCCCUUCAAGUACCCGGUGUUCCAGGGCGGCCCGCGGACGUGCCUGGGCAGGGAGAUGGCCUUUGUGCAGAUGAAGUUCGUGGCCGGCGCCAUACUCCGCCGGUUCGACCUCCGCCCCGUCGACGAGGGCCGCACGCCGGCGUUCCUGCCGCUGCUCACUUCCCACAUGCACGGCGGGCUCAAGGUGACGGUGAGGAGGAGGAAGGUGGAGACCACAGGCAACGGCCUGCAGGACGCAGCUACAGCCGAAAACCGAUCAUCAUUUUUUAGCUAG
rnacentral:rRNA from 1 species